UGGGGAAUAUUGGACAAUGGGCGAAAGCCUGAUCCAGCCAUGCCGCGUGUGUGAAGAAGGCCCUUUGGUUGUAAAGCACUUUAAGCGAGGAGGAGGCUACUUGGAUUAAUACUCUAGGAUAGUGGACGUUACUCGCAGAAUAAGCACCGGCUAACUCUGUGCCAGCAGCCGCGGUAAUACAGAGGGUGCGAGCGUUAAUCGGAUUUACUGGGCGUAAAGCGUGCGUAGGCGGCUUCUUAAGUCGGAUGUGAAAUCCCUGAGCUUAACUUAGGAAUUGCAUUCGAUACUGGGAAGCUAGAGUAUGGGAGAGGAUGGUAGAAUUCCAGGUGUAGCGGUGAAAUGCGUAGAGAUCUGGAGGAAUACCGAUGGCGAAGGCAGCCAUCUGGCCUAAUACUGACGCUGAGGUACGAAAGCAUGGGGAGCAAACAGG
rnacentral:rRNA from 1 species